GACGAACGCUGGCGGCGUGCCUAAUACAUGCAAGUUGAGCGCUGAAGGUUGGUACUUGUACCGACUGGAUGAGCAGCGAACGGGUGAGUAACGCGUGGGGAAUCUGCCUUUGAGCGGGGGACAACAUUUGGAAACGAAUGCUAAUACCGCAUAAAAACUUUAAACACAAGUUUUAAGUUUGAAAGAUGCAAUUGCAUCACUCAAAGAUGAUCCCGCGUUGUAUUAGCUAGUUGGUGAGGUAAAGGCUCACCAAGGCGAUGAUACAUAGCCGACCUGAGAGGGUGAUCGGCCACAUUGGGACUGAGACACGGCCCAAACUCCUACGGGAGGCAGCAGUAGGGAAUCUUCGGCAAUGGACGAAAGUCUGACCGAGCAGCGCCGCGUGAGUGAAGAAGGUUUUCGGAUCGUAAAACUCUGUUGGUAGAGAAGAACGUUGGUGAGAGUGGAAAGCUCAUCAAGUGACGGUAACUACCCAGAAAGGGACGGCUAACUACGUA
rnacentral:rRNA from 1 species